CCGGCGCACGGUGAGUAACACGUAUCCAACCUGCCGUCUACUCUUGGACAGCCUUCUGAAAGGAAGAUUAAUACAAGAUGGCAUCAUGAGUCCGCAUGUUCACAUGAUUAAAGGUAUUCCGGUAGACGAUGGGGAUGCGUUCCAUUAGAUAGUAGGCGGGGUAACGGCCCACCUAGUCUUCGAUGGGUAGGGGUUCUGAGAGGAAGGUCCCCCACAUUGGAACUGAGACACGGUCCAAACUCCUACGGGAGGCAGCAUG
rnacentral:rRNA from 1 species